rnacentral:rRNA from 1 species
AUUGAACGCUGGCGGCAGGCCUAACACAUGCAAGUCGAGCGGUAGAGAGGUGCUUGCAUCUCUUGAGAGCGGCGGACGGGUGAGUAAUGCCUAGGAAUCUGCCUAGUGGUGGGGGAUAACGUUCGGAAACGGACGCUAAUACCGCAUACGUCCUACGGGAGAAAGCGGGGGAUCUUCGGACCUCGCGCCAUUAGAUGAGCCUAGGUCGGAUUAGCUAGUUGGUGAGGUAAUGGCUCACCAAGGCGACGGUCCGUAACUGGUCUGAGAGGAUGAUCAGUCACACUGGAACUGAGACACGGUCCAGACUCCUACGGGAGGCAGCAGUGGGGGAAUAUUGGACAAUGGGCGAAAGCCUGAUCCAGCAAUGCCGCGUGAGUGAUGAAGGCCUUAGGGUGUAAAGCUCUUUACCCGGGAUGAUAAUGACAGUACCGGGAGAAUAAG